UACAGAGAGUGCGAGCGUUAUUCGGAUUCACUGGGCGUAAAGGGUGCGCAGGCGGCCGUGUGUGUGAGGCGUGAAAGCCCGGGGCUUAACCCCGGAAUUGCACCUCAAACUACACGGCUAGAGCAUUGGAGAGGGUAGCGGAAUUCACGGUGUAGCAGUGAAAUGCGUAGAUAUCGUGAGGAACACCAGAGGCGAAGGCGGCUACCUGGACAAUUGCUGACGCUCAGGCACGAAAGCGUGGGGAGCAAAAGGG
rnacentral:rRNA from 1 species